rnacentral:rRNA from 1 species
UACGUAGGGGGCAAGCGUUGUCCGGAAUCAUUGGGCGUAAAGAGCGCGUAGGCGGUCCGGUAAGUCAGCUGUGAAAGUCAAGGGCUCAACCCUUGAAAGCCGGUUGAUACUGUCGGGCUAGAGUCCGGAAGAGGCGAGUGGAAUUCCCGGUGUAGCGGUGAAAUGCGCAGAUAUCAGGAGGAACACCUGUGGCGAAAGCGGCUCACUGGACCACAACUGACGCUGAUGCACGAAAGCUAGGGGAGCAAACAGG